UCCUCGCUUUGUACACCGUAAGGAGGUGUACGAAUAAGGGCUGGGCAAGACCGGUGCCAGCCGCCGCGGUAAUACCGGCAGCCCGAGUGAUGGCCGCUGUUAUUGGGCCUAAAGCGUCCGUAGCCGGCCGAACAAGUCUGUCGGGAAAUCCAUCCGCCUAACGGAUGGGCGUCCGGCAGAAACUGUUCGGCUUGGGGCCGGAAGAUCCGAGGGGUACGUCCGGGGUAGGAGUGAAAUCCCGUAAUCCUGGACGGACCGCCGGUGGCGAAAGCGCCUCGGAAGGACGGACCCGACGGUGAGGGACGAAAGCUGGGGUCUCGAACCGGAUUAGAUACCCGGGUAGUCCCAGCCGUAAACGAUGCUCGCUAGGUGUGGCACAGGCUACGAGCCUGUGCUGUGCCGUAGGGAAGCCGUGAAGCGAGCCGCCUGGGAAGUACGUCCGCAAGGAUGAAACUUAAAGGAAUUGGCGGGGGAGCACUACAACCGGAGGAGCCUGCGGUUCAAUUGGACUCAACGCCGGACAUCUCACCAGCCCCGACAGUAGUCGUGACGGUCAGGUUGAUGACCUUACCCGAGCUACUGAGAGGAGGUGCAUGGCCGCCGUCAGCUCGUACCGUGAGGCGUCCUGUUAAGUCAGGCAACGAGCGAGACCCGCACUCCUAGUUGCCAGCAGCAUCCACUGGAUGGCUGGGGACACUAGGGGGACUGCCGCCGCCAAGGCGGAGGAAGGAACGGGCAACGGUAGGUCAGUAUGCCCCGAAUGGGCUGGGCUACACGCGGGCUACAAUGGCCGGGACAAUGGGAGGCGACCCCGAGAGGGGAAGCUAAUCUCUGAAACCCGGUCGUAGUUCGGAUUGAGGGCUGAAACUCGCCCUCAUGAAGCUGGAUUCGGUAGUAAUCGCAUGUCAGCAACGUGCGGUGAAUACGUCCCUGCUCCUUGCACACACCGCCCGUCAAAUCACCCGAGUGAGGUCCGGAUGAGGCCGCCGAGAGGCGGUCGAAUC
rnacentral:rRNA from 1 species